GACGAACGCUGGCGGCGUGCUUAACACAUGCAAGUCGAACGAUGAAGCCGGAGCUUGCUCUGGUGAAUUAGUGGCGAACGGGUGAGUAACACGUGAGUAACCUGCCCUUGACUCUGGGAUAACGGCGGGAAACUGUAGCUAAUACCGGAUACGACCCUCGGAGGCAUCUCCUGGGGGUGGAAAGAAUUUCGGUCAAGGAUGGACUCGCGGCCAAUCAGCUAGUUGGUGAGGUAAAGGCUCACCAAGGCGACGACGGGUAGCCGGCCUGAGAGGGUGACCGGCCACACUGGGACUGAGACACGGCCCAGACUCCUACGGGAGGCAGCAGUGGGGAAUAUUGCACAAUGGGCGCAAGCCUGAUGCAGCAACGCCGCGUGAGGGAUGACGGCCUUCGGGUUGUAAACCUCUUUUAGCAGGGAAGAAGCGAAAGUGACGGUACCUGCAGAAAAAGCACCGGCUAACUACGUGCCAGCCGCCGCCGUAA
rnacentral:rRNA from 1 species